rnacentral:rRNA from 1 species
AUUGAACGCUGGCGGCAGGCCUAACACAUGCAAGUCGAACGAGUGGCGGACGGGUGAGUAAUGUCUGGGAAACUGCCUGAUGGAGGGGGAUAACUACUGGAAACGGUAGCUAAUACCGCAUACCAUCGGAUGUGCCCAUAGGGGAUUAGCUUGUUGGUGGGGUAACGGCUCACCAAGGCGACGAUCCCUAGCUGGUCUGAGAGGAUGACCAGCAACAUGGGAACUGAGACACGGUCCAGACUCCUACGGAAGGCAGCAGUGGGGAAUAUUGCACAAGGGGCGCAAGCCUGAUGAAGCCAGGCCGCGGGUAUGAAGAAGGCCUUCGGGUUGUAAAGUACUUUCAGCGGGGAGGCGUUACCCGAAGAAGAAGCACCGGCUAACUCCGGGCCAGCAGCCGCGGUAAUAC